rnacentral:tRNA from 1 species
CGGGGCGUAGCUCAGUUGGUAGAGCGCGUGGUUCGGGACCACGAGGCCGAAGGUUCGAGUCCUUUCGCUCCGACCA